rnacentral:lncRNA from 1 species
AUAUAGCACAAUUAAAGGUUUUAUUAAACAUGUAAUACUUAUUGAACUAGACAGUCCUUUGAGACAAAACCAUACUCAAAAUAGUCCCAUAUUUCUUGGAGGCUUUGUUUGUUUCUUUUUAUUCUUUUUUCUCUAAACUUCUCUUCACGCUUCAUUUCAUUCAUUUUGUCUUCCAUCACUGAUACCCUUUCUUCCAGUUCUGCCUUGGCCUCCCGAAGUGCUGCGAUUACAGGUCUGAGCCACUGCACCCAGCCAUUUGGGUUGUUGUAAGCCUUCAAGUUUGUGACACCUUGUUAGAGAAGCAAUAGGAAACUAAUACAAGUUCUAUUCACUGCAUCUUAAGAGAAGAAAGCUGGGCAGGUAAGGCAGGGACAGUUUGUUGAUUCCUUAU